CUGCGCCGCCCUUCGCGAAGGGCGUUUCCUCCCUAGACUAAGGGCCGCCUCCAGAUGAGCGCGGCCUUUUUUUUGUCUGGU
rnacentral:sRNA from 1 species